GAUAGUUUGCAAUUACCACUUGAAGAUACAAGUCCACCUUUACUGCGUGCCUACAGUUGACCCAAGUUGUACUACUCUUUGUGAAUUAAGUGAAUUCGAAAAUGCAUGGCGGGAAGUUAAGUAUCGAGAAGCUCCAUAGCGGUGUAUAUGAAACAACAUGACUGUCGAAAAUCGAAAUGUUGUUAGUCCGGGAAACCCUUUGGAAGUACGUUACAACGGCUGCCUCUGAACCAAUAAUCGGAAGGUGACGCCAAGAUGUGGGCUACGAUCGCUCUUCUUGUCUUGUACGAUAACACCCAGCAUUCUUUGAUCCGUGAUGUGAACCCUGCAAUGUCUAAAUUUGACUACAGAUAUAAAGCUGAAGCAUGGUGAAGCUGGACAGCUUGAAUCAUACGUUGAAGCCGACUGGGCCGGAGACCGUCAAAAAAAUCGAACUCGGGAUUCAUCUUCUUGCGAGCCGAACGAGAAAGACAAAGAACUGAACAUAUAGGCACUUUCGGUUCAAUUUCAUUCGGGACCUGGAAAGUGAGAGUGUAAAAUUGUUUUAAAAAAAUUUGUCUACCUAUUGGCAUUAAUUAGAACAUUUACCGGACCGUAUUCGCGUUGCCGAAAAUAGGAGCACCGCCUGCCGAAAAUAGGACCAAACUGCCGAAAAUAGGAACAAAAACAGUGUUUGCGUUUUUUUGAAUAUGGCUAGAAAAUGUAUUUGAAACGGGAAAUAAAAAAUAGCACAACAUAA